rnacentral:rRNA from 1 species
UACGAAGGGGGCUAGCGUUGCUCGGAAUUACUGGGCGUAAAGCGCACGUAGGCGGUCUUUUAAGUCGGGGGUGAAAUCCUGGAGCUCAACUCCAGAACUGCCUUCGAUACUGGAAGACUUGAGUCCGGGAGAGGUGAGUGGAACUGCGAGUGUAGAGGUGAAAUUCGUAGAUAUCAGGAAGAACACCCGUGGCGAAGGCGGCUCUCUGGAACGCAACUGACGCUGAGACGCGAAAGCGUGGGGAGCAAACAGG